rnacentral:rRNA from 1 species
UGUAAUUGGGUAGCGGAGCGUUCUGUAAGCCUGUAAAGGUGAUGCGUAAGCAUUGCUGGAGGUAUCAGAAGUGCGAAUGCUGACAUGAGUAGCGACAAACAGAGUGAAAGACUCUGUCGCCGAGAGUACAAGGGUUCCUGCGUAAAGCUAAUCUUCGCAGGGUUAGUCGGUCCCUAAGACGAGGGCGAGAGCCGUAGUCGAUGGAAACAAGGUUAAUAUUCCUUGACCAGAUGGAAGUGACGGAUUUUGUAAAUUGUUAACUCUUAAUGGAUUGAGUUAGCCGUGAAAAAGUCCCAGGAAAUAGCUCCAUCAUUAGACCGUACCCUAAACCGACACAGGUGGAUUAUUAGAGUAUAUUUAGGCGCUUGAGAGAAUGAUGUUGAAGGAACUCGGCAAAAUGCUUCUGUAACUUCGGAAUAAAGAAGACCUUUUUUAGGGCAACUUAAAGGGUGGCACAAGCCAGGGAGAAGCGACUGUUUAUCAAAAACACAGGGCUCUGCUAACACGUAAGUGGAUGUAUAGGGUCUGACGCCUGCCCGGUGCUGGAAGGUUAAUGCGAUCAGUGCAAGCUGAUUUCUGAAGCCCCAGUGAACGGCGGCCGUAACUAUAACGGUCCUAAGGUAGCGAAAUUCCUUGUCGGGUAAGUUCCGACCUGCAUGAAUGGCGUAACGAUAUCUCCGCUGUCUCCAACAUCAACUCAGUGAAAUUGAAUUCUCCGUGAAGAUGCGGAGUUCCCGUGGUUAGACGGAAAGACCCCGUGCACCUUUACUACAACUUUAUAUUGGUGUUAGGAAUGAUAUGUUUAGCAUAGGAGGGAGACUUUGAAGCUAAGGCGUCAGCUUUUGUGGAGUCACCAGUGAAAUA